UGAGUGGUGAAGGUGGUGGUGAUGGUGGUGACGACAGUGAGUGGUGAAGGUGGUGGUGAUGAUGGUGGUGACGACAGUGAGUGGUGAAGGUGGUGGUGAUGAUGGUGGUGACGACAGUGAGUGGUGAAGGUGGUGGUGAUGAUGGUGGUGACGACAGUGAGUGGUGAAGGUGAUGGUGAUGAUGGUGGUGACGACAGUGAGUGGUGAAGGUGGUGGUGAUGAUGGUGGUGACGACAGUGAGUGGUGAAGGUGGUGGUGAUGAUGGUGGUGACGACAGUGAGUGGUGAAGGUGGUGGUGAUGAUGGUGGUGACGACAGUGAGUGGUGAAGGUGGUGGUGAUGAUGGUGAUGGUGAUGGUGGUGGUGAUGACAGUGAGUGGUGAGGGUCAUGGUGAUGGUGUGAUGGUGGUGGUGAUGGUGAUGGGGUGAUGGUGAUGAUGGUGGUGAUGAUGGUGGUGAGGGUCAUGGUGAUG
rnacentral:lncRNA from 10 species